rnacentral:lncRNA from 1 species
AAUAGAACAUUAAAGUGAAAGAACAGCUUGAAAAGACAGCACAAGCCUCCCGAGCCAGCCAGGGAAGAUAGAAGGUCUAGGUACUGAAAGUGUAGUUAUGUACCACCAUAAACAGCAAAGACACAGGACUCACCCAUACCGCAGUCUUCAGUUUACUCUGAAGAUGCCCUGGCUCCAACUUCCAAGGCUGGAUUAGAGGUGGGCUGUCACUUCCUCCUGACAUUUGUGUGUGUUCUGAAGAUCCAAACUCCGGUCCUCCUGCUGGUACAGCAAGCUCUUCAAUAGUUGGGCCAUCUCCCAAGACCCAAAUAAGCAAAACAAAAUGAUACUAACAAACAUCCAGUGAUCUGUAAGUCGAUCUGAAGACAUUCAACAUUAUCAUGAGAGCAUAAUUUUUUAAAUGAUUUGUUCAAAGUUUCUACCAAUCUAUCCUGGCAGCAGAGCCACAUGUUAAAGUUAUUGCUGUCUGAGUUACAACAGCUGCCCUGGGAACAGAUAAGGAGUUCCAAGGAUGCUGUGCUCCAAUUGUUGGAUGUUGCCACUGUGGGAAAGUGGGUGAAGCUACACGGACCUCUCGCUCUUCCUUCCUACACCUUCAGGGAAGUUAUUAUCUCAGCAUAAAACCACUAGAUUAAAAAUGGGCACAUGUGUCCAUGUUGUGUGUAUUGUGUUUAUGUCAUUUUCUUCCUCCUGAAAUUUCAGAGUAGUCAACAGGACCACCAGCUCAAAUUCUUUGGCUUCUAUAUACAUGGACAUAGGCAGGUAUAUCAAGGCUUCCAGUAUAAGAAAUUUGCUGAUUUAGCUGAUGCAAGCAGUAGGGAAAAUAACGUCCAGUGGAAGGACCCAGGGGGACAAAAUGUAACAGAAGACACGACAACAUUGAGAAAGCACAGAGGAUUCUCAAUUGUAGCGAGGAUUUGAAACUAUCCACUGGAGCUUGAUGGGAUCACAAUGGGUCUAUAACUAAAGCCAAUGAUCUCCCCUCUUCCAGAAGCCAUCAGUAGCCAAGAGCAUCCUGAGCCCUUGUCCUAUCCAUGCUUGAGUGUUGACCGGCCAAUUCUUGUGCAGACACAGUGUAGGCAACUGUAGGUGUUGUGAGGUUAGUAUUGGAGUUCAAAGGAUUCACAGCUGAGUAAAGCCAUUGCUGCCUUUCCUCCUCAGUAACUCUGCAUAGCACCACCCAGCACUUGGAAGAUUAAACGAUCCAGGUUAAAAACCUGAAAGCCACAAGGCUGAACAGUCUGCCCAUGGUCGUGUAGCUGCUAAACUACAACACUGAGCUAAGCACAUACAUAUCCCUACGCGCCAUACCCUGCUGGCUCCCAUCACCUAGCAUGAGCUUUAAAACCGUUGUAUUGCUUUUGAAGGAUUUAAAGCUUCUCCGCCCAGUUUUCCAUCCAGAGAAGUUGGACAUUAUAACUAGGAGCGAGAGGACCAGUGGCAUGGAGCAGAGCAAAGAUGAUGAGGUCUGACGAGACGUGUCCUUUGCUGAGGUUGCUGUUCUGCAUAAACACGCAGUACAAAGAGGCAGAGGAGUGUGUAGGGUCAUUUCAGAAAUUGUUCAAAAUUCUUCCUUAUCAUAAGCCAAAAUUCAUUUAAUAUUUUUGUUUUCGAAAAAUGGAAGAAAGCAGCUAGAACAUUCCAGAAGCUGGAAACAUUUGACCAAGAGCAAAUUGAGCAGAACACUUGUGUGGACAAUGCUAAAUGGACCAUCUACUAGAGUCUCAGCACUGUGAAUAUCAAGACAAGAAUUUGAAUCAUACCUUAAGUACAGUGCUGAAUUACU